rnacentral:rRNA from 1 species
ACUUUGCUGACGAGCGGCGGACGGGUGAGUAAUGCUUGGGAACAUGCCUUGAGUGGGGGACAACAGUUGGAAACGACUGCUAAUACCGCAUAAUGUCUACGGACCAAAGGGGGCUUCGGCUCUCGCCUUUAGAUUGGCCCAAGUGGGAUUAGCUAGUUGGUGAGGUAAUGGCUCACCAAGGCGACGAUCCCUAGCUGGUUUGAGAGGAUGAUCAGCCACACUGGGACUGAGACACGGCCCAGACUCCUACGGGAGGCAGCAGUGGGGAAUAUUGCACAAUGGGCGCAAGCCUGAUGCAGCCAUGCCGCGUGUGUGAAGAAGGCCUUCGGGUUGUAAAGCACUUUCAGUCAGGAGGAAAGGUUAGUUAGUUAAUACCUGCUAGCUGUGACGUUACUGACAGAAGAAGCACCGGCUAACUCCGUGCCAGCAGCCGCGGUAA